GCUCGAAGAGAACCAGUACACAGGUGGCUGCAUGGCUGUCGUCAGCUCGUGUCGUGAGAUGUUGGGUUAAGUCCCGCAACGAGCGCAACCCUUGUCAUUAGUUGCUACGAAAGGGCACUCUAAUGAGACUGCCGGUGACAAAUCGGAGGAAGGUGGGGAUGGCGUCAAGUCCUCAUGGCCCUUAUGGGUAGGGCUUCACACGUCAUACAAUGGUACAUACAGAGGGCCGCCAACCCGCGAGGGGGAGCUAAUCCCAGAAAGUGUAUCGUAGUCCGGAUUGUAGUCUGCAACUCGACUGCAUGAAGUUGGAAUCGCUAGUAAUCGCGGAUCAGCACGCCGCGGUGAAUACGUUCCCGGGCCUU
rnacentral:rRNA from 1 species